AGCUAAUACUUGCUUUAGCACUCUUGAUUUAUUUCUUGAGUGUGUACUUGUUAAGCCUUAUAAGAGAAGAGUUAUUAACUUAAGGAAUUAUAACAAAGAAGUAACACGUAAUGGAUUCUUCCAUUUUUUAGUGUGUAUCAAUCGAGUUUCUGACCUAUCAGCUUUUGAUGUUAGGGUAUUGGCCUAACAUGGCUAUGACGGGUAACGGGGAAUUAGAGUUCGAUUCCGGAGAGGGAGCCUGAGAAAUAGCUACCACAUCUAAGGAAGGCAGCAGGCGCGUAAAUUACCCAAUUCUAAAGAAGAGAGAUAGUGACAAGAAAUAACAAUACAAGGCCAAUCUGGCUUUGUAAUUGGAAUGAUGGGAAUUUAAAACCUUCCCAAAAUUCAAUUGGAGGGCAAGUCUGGUGCCAGCAGCCGCGGUAAUUCCAGCUCCAAUAGCGUAUAUUAAAAUUGUUGCAGUUAAAACGCUCGUAGUUGAAUUUCAAAGAAUCGAUAUUUUAAGUAACGCUUCUAGCUAUAAAUCCACAUAACUGAUGCCUCCGCGUAUCGACUUUGUGCGCAUUUUAGCUAUUAUGUGUUCUUUUAAUUAAAAUGAUUCUUUUUAAGAUUCAUCUAUUAAAAAUUUGCCUCGGCAUAAUUUUUUUUGAUGAUCUUGUUACUUUGAGUAAAUUAGAGUGUUCAAAGCAAACAGAUAUAGCAUUUGUGCGUUUGAAUACUACAGCAUGGAAUAACAAAAUUGAACAAGUCAGAAUUUUUUUGUUCUUUUUUCUUAUUUUGGCUUAGUUACGAUUAAUAGGAGUAGCUUGGGGGCAUUUGUAUUCAGAUGUCAGAGGUGAAAUUCUUAGAUUUUCUGGAGACAAACAACUGCGAAAGCAUUUGCCUAAAAUACUUCCAUUAAUCAAGAACGAAAGUUAAGGGAGUGAAGACGAUCAGAUACCGUCGUAAUCUUAACCAUAAACUAUGCCGACUAGGCUUUGGAUGAAAGAUUUUAAAAUAAGAGUUUU
rnacentral:rRNA from 1 species